rnacentral:rRNA from 1 species
AGCUUUAUAGCUAGCCCGCUUAAACAACUUCAACAAACCCCUGUUAAUAACCCCUAAAUACACUAGUAUCUCAUUAAACAAACCAUUUUUCCCCCUUAGUAUAGGUGAUAGAAACGGGGCCCCCGGCGCAAUAGAGAAAGUACCGCAAGGGAAUGCUGAAAGAGAAAUGAAAGAACUCAGUGAAGCCUAAAAAAGCAGAGAUUAAAACUCGUACCUUUUGCAUCAUGAUUUAGCAAGUGUAAUCCAAGCAAAGAGUGCUUUAGUUUGAUAUCCCGAAACUAGGUGAGCUACUCCAAGACAGCCUAUUAAUAGGGCACACCCGUCUCUGUGGCAAAAGAGUGGGGGGAGCUUUGAGUAGAGGUGAUAGACCUACCGAACCUAGUUAUAGCUGGUUGUCCAAGAAAUGAAUAGAAGUUCAGCCUCCCGGCUUCUCUUUUCACCUUAGUUUAACCCCUAUCGAUGUACUUAAGAAACCAAGAGAGUUAGUCAAAGGGGGUACAGCCCCUUUGAACCAAGACACAACUUUAUCAGGAGGAUAAAGAUCAUAAUACCUAAAGGAAGAUAUUUGGGUGGGCCUAAAAGCAGCCAUCCCCUUAGAAAGCGUUAAAGCUCAAAUAUAACACUAAACCCUUCUUAUUCUGAUCACCAAAUCUUAUUCCCCUAAACAUAAUGGACCGCCCCAUGCACGCAUGGGGGUGACUAUGCUAAUAUGAGUAAUAAGAGAGCCUCCGGCUCUCUCCCUGCACACAUGUAUGUCGGAACGGACAUCCCGCCGACCAUUAACGGCCCCAAACAAAGAGGGCACUGAAUAAUAGAUUAAACAACAAGAAAAGCAUUCAGGAAACAACCGUUAACCCAACACAGGUGUGCCCACAGGGAAAGGCUAAAAGAAAGAGAAGGAACUCGGCAAACACAUUAAAGCCUCGCCUGUUUACCAAAAACAUCGCCUCUUGCAAACUUAAUAAAUAAGAGGUCCCGCCUGCCCUGUGACUAUUAGUUUAACGGCCGCGGUAUUUUGACCGUGCGAAGGUAGCGCAAUCACUUGUCUUUUAAAUGAAGACCUGUAUGAAUGGCAUAACGAGGGCUUAACUGUCUCCUCUCUCCAGUCAAUGAAGUUGAUCUUCCCGUGCAGAAGCGGGAAUACAAACAUAAGACGAGAAGACCCUAUGGAGCUUUAGACACCAAGGUAGAUCAUGUUAAUAACCCUGAAUAAAGGACUAAACCAGAUGGAACCUACCCUAAUGUCUUUGGUUGGGGCGACCGCGGGGAAUUAAAAAACCCCCACGUGGAAUGGGAGCACCCCUCCUACAACUAAGAGCCACAGCUCUAGUAAACAGAAAUUCUGACCAUAAGAUCCGGCAGUGCCGAUCAACGGACCGAGUUACCCUAGGGAUAACAGCGCAAUCCUCUUUUAGAGCCCAUAUCGACAAGGGGGUUUACGACCUCGAUGUUGGAUCAGGACAUCCUAAUGGUGCAGCCGCUAUUAAGGGUUCGUUUGUUCAACGAUUAAAGUCCUACGUGAUCUGAGUUCAGACCGGAGUAAUCCAGGUCAGUUUCUAUCUAUGCUAUGCUCUUUUCUAGUACGAAAGGACCGAAAAGAAGAGGCCCAUGCUCAAGGCACGCCUCCCCCCUACCUACUGAAGUCAACUAAAGUGGGCAAAGGGGCAUGCCCCCCUGCCUAAGAAAAAGGCAU